UUAAGCGACUAAGCGUACACGGUGGAUGCCCUGGCAGUCAGAGGCGAUGAAGGACGUGCUAAUCUGCGAAAAGCGCCGGCGAGGUGAUAUGAACCUUUGACCCGGCGAUGUCCGAAUGGGGAAACCCAGUGUGAUUCGUCACACUAUCGUUAACUGAAUACAUAGGUUAACGAGGCGAACCGGGGGAACUGAAACAUCUAAGUACCCCGAGGAAAAGAAAUCAACCGAGAUUCCCCCAGUAGCGGCGAGCGAACGGGGAGCAGCCCAGAGUCUGAAUCAGCUUGUGUGUUAGUGGAAGCGUCUGGAAAGUCGCACGGUACAGGGUGACAGUCCCGUACACGAAAGCACACAGGUUGUGAACUCGAAGAGUAGGGCGGGACACGUGGUAUCCUGUCUGAAUAUGGGGGGACCAUCCUCCAAGGCUAAAUACUCCUGACUGACCGAUAGUGAACCAGUACCGUGAGGGAAAGGCGAAAAGAACCCCGGCGAGGGGAGUGAAAAAGAACCUGAAACCGUGUACGUACAAGCAGUGGGAGCACCUUCGUGGUGUGACUGCGUACCUUUUGUAUAAUGGGUCAGCGACUUAUAUUCUGUAGCAAGGUUAACCGUAUAGGGGAGCCGAAGGGAAACCGAGUCUUAACUGGGCGUUAAGUUGCAGGGUAUAGACCCGAAACCCGGUGAUCUAGCCAUGGGCAGGUUGAAGGUUGGGUAACACUAACUGGAGGACCGAACCGACUAAUGUUGAAAAAUUAGCGGAUGACUUGUGGCUGGGGGUGAAAGGCCAAUCAAACCGGGAGAUAGCUGGUUCUCCCCGAAAGCUAUUUAGGUAGCGCCUCGUGAACUCAUCUUCGGGGGUAGAGCACUGUUUCGGCUAGGGGGCCAUCCCGGCUUACCAACCCGAUGCAAACUACGAAUACCAAAGAAUGUUAUCACGGGAGACACACGGCGGGUGCUAACGUCCGUCGUGAAGAGGGAAACAACCCAGACCGCCAGCUAAGGUCCCAAAGUCAUGGUUAAGUGGGAAACGAUGUGGGAAGGCACAGACAGCCAGGAUGUUGGCUUAGAAGCAGCCAUCAUUUAAAGAAAGCGUAAUAGCUCACUGGUCGAGUCGGCCUGCGCGGAAGAUGUAACGGGGCUAAACCAUGCACCGAAGCUGCGGCAGCGACGCUUAUGCGUUGUUGGGUAGGGGAGCGUUCUGUAAGCCGUUGAAGGUGGCCUGUGAGGGUUGCUGGAGGUAUCAGAAGUGCGAAUGCUGACAUAAGUAACGAUAAAGCGGGUGAAAAGCCCGCUCGCCGGAAGACCAAGGGUUCCUGUCCAACGUUAAUCGGGGCAGGGUGAGUCGACCCCUAAGGCGAGGCCGAAAGGCGUAGUCGAUGGGAAACAGGUUAAUAUUCCUGUACUUGGUGUUACUGCGAAGGGGGGACGGAGAAGGCUAUGUUAGCCGGGCGACGGUUGUCCCGGUUUAAGCAUGUAGGCGGAGGUUCCAGGUAAAUCCGGUACCUUUUAACGCUGAGGUGUGAUGACGAGGCACUACGGUGCUGAAGUAACAAAUGCCCUGCUUCCAGGAAAAGCCUCUAAGCAUCAGGUAACAUCAAAUCGUACCCCAAACCGACACAGGUGGUCAGGUAGAGAAUACCAAGGCGCUUGAGAGAACUCGGGUGAAGGAACUAGGCAAAAUGGUGCCGUAACUUCGGGAGAAGGCACGCUGAUAUGUAGGUGAAGCCCCUGCGGGUGGAGCUGAAAUCAGUCGAAGAUACCAGCUGGCUGCAACUGUUUAUUAAAAACACAGCACUGUGCAAACACGAAAGUGGACGUAUACGGUGUGACGCCUGCCCGGUGCCGGAAGGUUAAUUGAUGGGGUUAGCGGCAACGCGAAGCUCUUGAUCGAAGCCCCGGUAAACGGCGGCCGUAACUAUAACGGUCCUAAGGUAGCGAAAUUCCUUGUCGGGUAAGUUCCGACCUGCACGAAUGGCGUAAUGAUGGCCAGGCUGUCUCCACCCGAGACUCAGUGAAAUUGAACUCGCUGUGAAGAUGCAGUGUACCCGCGGCAAGACGGAAAGACCCCGUGAACCUUUACUAUAGCUUGACACUGAACACUGGUCCUUGAUGUGUAGGAUAGGUGGGAGGCUUUGAAGCGUGGACGCCAGUCUGCGUGGAGCCGUCCUUGAAAUACCACCCUUUAAUGGCUGGUGUUCUAACGUAGACCCGUAAUCCGGGUUGCGGACAGUGUCUGGUGGGUAGUUUGACUGGGGCGGUCUCCUCCCAAAGAGUAACGGAGGAGCACGAAGGUUAGCUAAUCCUGGUCGGACAUCAGGAGGUUAGUGCAAUGGCAUAAGCUAGCUUGACUGCGAGAGUGACGGCUCGAGCAGGUGCGAAAGCAGGUCAUAGUGAUCCGGUGGUUCUGAAUGGAAGGGCCAUCGCUCAACGGAUAAAAGGUACUCCGGGGAUAACAGGCUGAUACCGCCCAAGAGUUCAUAUCGACGGCGGUGUUUGGCACCUCGAUGUCGGCUCAUCACAUCCUGGGGCUGAAGUAGGUCCCAAGGGUAUGGCUGUUCGCCAUUUAAAGUGGUACGCGAGCUGGGUUUAGAACGUCGUGAGACAGUUCGGUCCCUAUCUGCCGUGGGCGCUGGAGAAUUGAGGGGGGCUGCUCCUAGUACGAGAGGACCGGAGUGGACGCAUCACUGGUGUUCGGGUUGUCAUGCCAAUGGCACUGCCCGGUAGCUAAAUGCGGAAAAGAUAAGUGCUGAAAGCAUCUAAGCACGAAACUUGCCCCGAGAUGAGUUCUCCCUGACUCCCUGAGAGUCCUGAAGGAACGUUAAAGACGAUGACGUUGAUAGGUCGGGUGUGUAAGCGCAGCGAUGCGUUGAGCUAACCGAUACUAAUGAACCGUGAGGCUUAACCU
rnacentral:rRNA from 1 species